UACGAAGGGGGCUAGCGUUGUUCGGAAUCACUGGGCGUAAAGCGCACGUAGGCGGGUCUCUAAGUCAGGGGUGAAAUCCUGGAGCUCAACUCCAGAACUGCCUUUGAUACUGGGGAUCUCGAGUCCGGGAGAGGUGAGUGGAACUCCGAGUGUAGAGGUGAAAUUCGUAGAUAUUCGGAAGAACACCAGUGGCGAAGGCGGCUCACUGGCCCGGUACUGACGCUGAGGUGCGAAAGCGUGGGGAGCAAACAGG
rnacentral:rRNA from 1 species